rnacentral:rRNA from 1 species
GACGAACGCUGGCGGCGUGCUUAACACAUGCAAGUCGAGCGGUAAGGCCCUUUCGGGGUACACGAGCGGCGAACGGGUGAGUAACACGUGGGUGACCUGCCCUCAGCUCUGGGAUAAGCCUGGGAAACCGGGUCUAAUACCGGAUAUGACUCCAUGACGCAUGUUGUGGGGUGGAAAGCCUUGUGCGGCUGAGGAUGGGCCCGCGGCCUAUCAGCUUGUUGGUGGGGUGANGGCCUACCAAGGCGACGACGGGUAGCCGGCCUGAGAGGGCGACCGGCCACACUGGGACUGAGACACGGCCCAGACUCCUACGGGGAGGCAGCAGUGGGGAAUCUUGCGCAAUGGGCGAAAGCCUGACGCAGCGACGCCGCGUG